GUGCGAGACCGAUAGCGAACAAGUACCGUGAGGGAAAGAUGAAAAGAACUUUGAAAAGAGAGUUAAAGAGUACCUGAAACUGCUGAAAGGGAACCGAAUCGUUUCCAGUGUCUAUAAUCUAUGGCAUAUUUCAUUGGCGUGUGGAUGUGUGCAGCGUUUUGGAAGUAGUUUUCUGCUCCUGUCGUUGUUUUGCGUUCGCCUGCUGGUGCCCUGUGCUGUAGUGGGACGUCAGAGUCAAUUCGUAUGCUGCGGGAAAUGGUUAUUGGGGAGGUAGGUCACUUCGGUGGCUGUUAUAUCCUGGUAACUAGUCGUCGUGGUUGGGAUUGAGGUGCCUAC
rnacentral:rRNA from 2 species